rnacentral:rRNA from 1 species
GACGAACGCUGGCGGCGUGCUUAACACAUGCAAGUCGAACGAUGAAGCUGGAGCUUGCUCCGGUGGAUUAGUGGCGAACGGGUGAGUAACACGUGAGCAAUCUGCCCUUGACUCUGGGAUAACUGCGGGAAACUGUAGCUAAUACCGGAUACUUUCACUGGAAGGCAUCUUCUGGUGAAGAAAGAAUUUCGGUCAAGGAUGAGCUCGCGGCCUAUCAGCUUGUUGGUGAGGUAACGACUCACCAAGGCGACGACGGGUAGCCGGCCUGAGAGGGUGACCGGCCACCCUGGGACGGAGACACGGCCCAGACUCCUACGGGAGGCAGCAGUGGGGAAUAGUGCGCAAUGGGCGCAAGCCUGAUGCAGCAACGCCGCGUGAGGGAUGAAGGCCUUCGGGUUGUAAACCUCUUUUAGCAGGGAAGAAGCGAAAGUGACGGUACCUGCAGAAAAAGCACCGGCUAACUACGUGCCAGCAGCCGCCGUAA